GUCUGGGACGGGAAGAGAGGACCUCUAAUCCGCGAGAAUGGAUCAGAGAGGCUGAAAAAACACUCAGGGCAGGACCAAAAUACCGCUGCCCGAGGACGAUCGAGAUUAAAAGGGAUAGAUCGGGAAGAACUGGCCCCAGUGCCUGCUCGUCUGAGGAUGAAUUUACCGACGGAUGCUGCGGAGAUUGUUUUAAAUGGAGGGAAAAAGCAAGUCAUCCUCAAGAACAGACUUCGAGCGCCAUAGCUUCCGCAAAGUCACUGGACAGAAACAAAAACAGAACAGAGCGCUCGAAAAUAGGGAUACCACUGAAAUAUACGCGUCGUUCUGAUGCCUUUCUGCGCGGUUAACGUGUCUUUGCGAUACAGAAGAGGAACGCUAUUGUGUAGCGGCGUUAAGCCGCGAAGGAGGGCGUAUUUGCAUAGACAAGAGGAGUCGCAGCAUCUGAGCUGUGGAAACAUCCCUGUUCGUACACCAGGAUAGUCCGUUUUCAAGUACUGCCAGGGUUUUUUCCUCAAUUUAUGAUAUGUGACCCAGUAAGCAUUUCUCACGUGAUGCUUCCAUUGCUCAUUUCUUCAAAUACAUCAAGGACAAAGGAACCAGAGCGCCGAUUUAAAGAUUGCAUGAAGAAACCCGUGGACGCAAAGCAAGAAUUUUUAUUUUUUUCUCUCUCUGAUUUCGGUUUUACCCCGAAGGAAAAUGGUAUUGAGCGCAAGAGUAAUUGUGCUGCAUCGAUUGACUUAUUUUUCCAUUGUGUAAGCUUAGACAAGGUGCACGUCAUUAAUCUGUCUUUAAACUGCAUUAACAACGUAUCACAUAUGGACAACACCACUGAACACUAAAGUGGUGGAUGGAAAGGUGUUAAGCAGGUCGUCUCGUAUGUUUGACUCGCAUGCAAUUCAGUUGCUAAACCAGUGUUGUAGUGAAAGUGUUCAAAUGUUAUACCUCUCUCUCGGAAGCUCGUGGGUGGGUUACAUGUGCAAGUCAGGGCGCGAAAUUUGAGUGUCAAGUGAUCCUCGAGGGGUUUUGCUCAUGACCACUAGGCUGCUGCCGCCGUUCGUUUGUUCUCAGAGUUCUCGCUCUGCGUGUUCACAGCGGACCUUGAUUUAAUGUCCAUACAAUUAAGGCACGCGGUGAAUGCCAAGAGAAGAAUCUCUCCAGCAGCCAGGUUUCUCAAGUAGCCUACAGCUCAGCUCAGAAAUCAAGGCACUAAAGAGGGGAAAGCGUUCAGAAUAUCGCUCAGUGGGACCAAUAAAUCAAGCUUGUUAUUAUAACCAAUUAAUAAUAGAUUUAUAAUGAGCACCUCUAUCAGUGUGUAGAAAAGUGGGUGGUUAGGCAGCAUUUUUGUUUUCCGAAAUGUCCAUGGAAUUUUAAAGUAAAUUAAGUAGGCUAAUAGACGUUGGAGGCCUGACUGACUGCUUAGAUUAACAGGAAAAUGGAUCUUAGUGCACAGAGGUUUUAAAAGGGCGGAGGAGGGAGGCUGUAAUGAGCAGAAAAAAAUGUAGGAUUGUUCUGGACUUCACGUUUAGAGCACUUUAUUUGAGGCCGCUGUUACUCUGUGUGGAUAGAUUCACCCUAAGGACGACAAUGUUGAGAAAAAAAAACCGCAAUGUAAAAAAAACCGCACAUGGUUUCACAUCCGUAGAUAGUCUGAAUAGUCAUUUAUAUAGCCUACUCUCAUCCAAACGGAUUUGCUUCAACUGCAAAGUGACGUGAAUUUAGCGUGAUGUUUCUAUACGAGGGCGCCAUCUAUUGGGCACAUUAUAAAUGUUGUCUUGCCAAUCAACAACAAUUGAAGAAUAAAUGCUGUAGUGAUAAGUACAGCAUGUCACCAUUUCCAAACACUGUAGCCUACUUUAUUCUGCCUUAAACUACUUACAUGAGAAAAAGAAGAAACCGGUGAAACAAAACUGUAGAAGUAGGCUACGUAUAUAGGCUAUAUGGUAUAUAAAAAUCUCGAACAGGCCAUCUAAAUUUUUUCACGUUAAGAUGCUUUGGAGAUGUUCCCUUUGCCUCAACAAAAUGUAAACCUCGUUUGAAUUCAUAAUGCACUGCUCAAAACGGUUAUCUAAUAUAAUAAUAUGCGAAUGGUAAAAUGUAAGAACAAAAAUGGCGCUGCAUUUCCCUUCAACAAAACCUGUGCAAGGAAAAAAACGCACACCUGUCUAUGCAACAUCCGGAAUGAUCAGCUAAAAGGCACCUUUAAAUUCAAAUCUGAAGCUACGUACAUUAUCAGAGUAAUUAAAAUGUCAGAAAUAGAUGGAAGUCUUUUCGUAUCUUACACCAAUCAAAAGAUCAAAUGUGUCAUCACCUAACUGUUAAUAUUUAUAUUUAACAGGGUUAGUUUACUAGACAUAAACGAUGAAAGCCUGUUUUUUUUAUUCCUAUCAUGCAUCACCACUGAACUUUACAUCAUUACCCCCCAAAAACCCAUAAUAAUAUUAAAAUAAAAUAAAAUAAAAUAAAAUAAAGAAUUAAUCAAAUUACAUGUAUUUUAAAUAGGGCGAUGUUAUACUCUUAACAAUUGCAGGACAAAUAAUGUGUAAAAUGCAACACUCUCAUAAACCCUCCUCAAAAAUCGUACGAAUUAAUACGAAAUUGCCAACUCGUAAAAUAGUUCCAUUUUCUCCUGAGAUCGGGGUAAAAAUGUGAUCGGAUGAUUAAUUAACCCAGUUUCCAAUGAUUUUACUCAGCCAAGGGGCUAGGCCUAAUAAUUAUUUGAGCAUAAGGACGAUUACAUAAUUUUGUCUUGUAAAGUUCAAGGUAUGCAAGAGGAAACUUACUGAAUAUAAAAUAGAUAUUUUGCAUAAAUAUCUACAUCGUCAAAAAUAUUACACAUACACAGAUUAUAGAGCUCUACACAGGUAAGUAACGGCUUUCAGCUAAACAUCUUCUAUUGAUAUUCUUAGCUUGUGGUGUAACUUAUAAAUAAACAUGUAUAAAUCACA
ensembl:lncRNA